GGGUUGUGAGGUUAAGCGACUAAGCGUACACGGUGGAUGCCCUGGCAGUCAGAGGCGAUGAAGGACGUGCUAAUCUGCGAUAAGCGUCGGUAAGGUGAUAUGAACCGUUAUAACCGGCGAUUUCCGAAUGGGGAAACCCAGUGUGAUUCGUCACACUAUCAUUAACUGAAUCCAUAGGUUAAUGAGGCGAACCGGGGGAACUGAAACAUCUAAGUACCCCGAGGAAAAGAAAUCAACCGAGAUUCCCCCAGUAGCGGCGAGCGAACGGGGAGCAGCCCAGAGCCUGAAUCAGUGUGUGUGUUAGUGGAAGCGUCUGGAAAGGCGCGCGAUACAGGGUGACAGCCCCGUACACAAAAAUGCACAUGCUGUGAGCUCGAUGAGUAGGGCGGGACACGUGGUAUCCUGUCUGAAUAUGGGGGGACCAUCCUCCAAGGCUAAAUACUCCUGACUGACCGAUAGUGAACCAGUACCGUGAGGGAAAGGCGAAAAGAACCCCGGCGAGGGGAGUGAAAAAGAACCUGAAACCGUGUACGUACAAGCAGUGGGAGCACGCUUAGGCGUGUGACUGCGUACCUUUUGUAUAAUGGGUCAGCGACUUAUAUUCUGUAGCAAGGUUAACCGAAUAGGGGAGCCGAAGGGAAACCGAGUCUUAACUGGGCGUUAAGUUGCAGGGUAUAGACCCGAAACCCGGUGAUCUAGCCAUGGGCAGGUUGAAGGUUGGGUAACACUAACUGGAGGACCGAACCGACUAAUGUUGAAAAAUUAGCGGAUGACUUGUGGCUGGGGGUGAAAGGCCAAUCAAACCGGGAGAUAGCUGGUUCUCCCCGAAAGCUAUUUAGGUAGCGCCUCGUGAAUUCAUCUCCGGGGGUAGAGCACUGUUUCGGCAAGGGGGUCAUCCCGACUUACCAACCCGAUGCAAACUGCGAAUACCGGAGAAUGUUAUCACGGGAGACACACGGCGGGUGCUAACGUCCGUCGUGAAGAGGGAAACAACCCAGACCGCCAGCUAAGGUCCCAAAGUCAUGGUUAAGUGGGAAACGAUGUGGGAAGGCCCAGACAGCCAGGAUGUUGGCUUAGAAGCAGCCAUCAUUUAAAGAAAGCGUAAUAGCUCACUGGUCGAGUCGGCCUGCGCGGAAGAUGUAACGGGGCUAAACCAUGCACCGAAGCUGCGGCAGCGACGCUUAUGCGUUGUUGGGUAGGGGAGCGUUCUGUAAGCCUGCGAAGGUGUGCUGUGAGGCAUGCUGGAGGUAUCAGAAGUGCGAAUGCUGACAUAAGUAACGAUAAAGCGGGUGAAAAGCCCGCUCGCCGGAAGACCAAGGGUUCCUGUCCAACGUUAAUCGGGGCAGGGUGAGUCGACCCCUAAGGCGAGGCCGAAAGGCGUAGUCGAUGGGAAACAGGUUAAUAUUCCUGUACUUGGUGUUACUGCGAAGGGGGGACGGAGAAGGCUAUGUUGGCCGGGCGACGGUUGUCCCGGUUUAAGCGUGUAGGCUGGUUUUCCAGGCAAAUCCGGAAAAUCAAGGCUGAGGCGUGAUGACGAGGCACUACGGUGCUGAAGCAACAAAUGCCCUGCUUCCAGGAAAAGCCUCUAAGCAUCAGGUAACAUCAAAUCGUACCCCAAACCGACACAGGUGGUCAGGUAGAGAAUACCAAGGCGCUUGAGAGAACUCGGGUGAAGGAACUAGGCAAAAUGGUGCCGUAACUUCGGGAGAAGGCACGCUGAUAUGUAGGUGAGGUCCCUCGCGGAUGGAGCUGAAAUCAGUCGAAGAUACCAGCUGGCUGCAACUGUUUAUUAAAAACACAGCACUGUGCAAACACGAAAGUGGACGUAUACGGUGUGACGCCUGCCCGGUGCCGGAAGGUUAAUUGAUGGGGUCAGCGCAAGCGAAGCUCUUGAUCGAAGCCCCGGUAAACGGCGGCCGUAACUAUAACGGUCCUAAGGUAGCGAAAUUCCUUGUCGGGUAAGUUCCGACCUGCACGAAUGGCGUAAUGAUGGCCAGGCUGUCUCCACCCGAGACUCAGUGAAAUUGAACUCGCUGUGAAGAUGCAGUGUACCCGCGGCAAGACGGAAAGACCCCGUGAACCUUUACUAUAGCUUGACACUGAACAUUGAGCCUUGAUGUGUAGGAUAGGUGGGAGGCUUGGAAGUGUGGACGCCAGUCUGCAUGGAGCCGACCUUGAAAUACCACCCUUUAAUGUUUGAUGUUCUAACGUUGACCCCUAAUCGGGGUUGCGGACAGUGUCUGGUGGGUAGUUUGACUGGGGCGGUCUCCUCCUAAAGAGUAACGGAGGAGCACGAAGGUUGGCUAAUCCUGGUCGGACAUCAGGAGGUUAGUGCAAUGGCAUAAGCCAGCUUGACUGCGAGCGUGACGGCGCGAGCAGGUGCGAAAGCAGGUCAUAGUGAUCCGGUGGUUCUGAAUGGAAGGGCCAUCGCUCAACGGAUAAAAGGUACUCCGGGGAUAACAGGCUGAUACCGCCCAAGAGUUCAUAUCGACGGCGGUGUUUGGCACCUCGAUGUCGGCUCAUCACAUCCUGGGGCUGAAGUAGGUCCCAAGGGUAUGGCUGUUCGCCAUUUAAAGUGGUACGCGAGCUGGGUUUAGAACGUCGUGAGACAGUUCGGUCCCUAUCUGCCGUGGGCGCUGGAGAACUGAGGGGGGCUGCUCCUAGUACGAGAGGACCGGAGUGGACGCAUCACUGGUGUUCGGGUUGUCAUGCCAAUGGCACUGCCCGGUAGCUAAAUGCGGAAGAGAUAAGUGCUGAAAGCAUCUAAGCACGAAACUUGCCCCGAGAUGAGUUCUCCCUGACUCCUUGAGAGUCCUGAAGGAACGUUGAAGACGACGACGUUGAUAGGCCGGGUGUGUAAGCGCAGCGAUGCGUUGAGCUAACCGGUACUAAUGAACCGUGAGGCUUAACCUUACAACGCCGAAG
rnacentral:rRNA from 1 species